GAGAGUUUGGCCAACAAGCAGCACUGGAAGGAGACUGUGGGCUGUAGCAAAGGAGGAGUCCGUGUACUUCUCUCCCUUCCACUUCUCCUUGGAUAGAGUCCCUUGCAGAAGCUGCAAGUUCCAGCACCCCAGCUCCUUGUGGAUGGACUAGCUGUGGUUUUGGCAUCUGCCAGGUGACCCCUGCCCCCUGACGCAGGCAUGGCUGAGUAACCAGUGUACCACAGUGAGAGUCCGCCAAAGCGUCAAAUGUUUGCCUUUGCCCUGUGAUGCUCCUGCCCCCAUCAUGAGACAAGAUAGCCACGGGUCCAGAAUGAAGAGACCUUUGGAACAGACCUAACCCAAGCCCAGCCAAGGCCAGCCAACCCAUGAGUGAAAAGAAAUAAAAGUCUCUUGUAAGCUUCUGAAAUUUGGGGGUUAUUUGUUACACAGCAUCAUCCCAACAAAACCUGACUGACGAGUCUUCAUGGAAUUCUUUCCAUGGAACUAUUCCAAUACUCAGGCCUUUUUGCAGAGGGCCUCAGGUGUGAACUGCUUGCUGUGCUGCACACCAUUGAGGAAUCAGGGUUUAGUGAGUAGCUUUUUUCCACUCCAGACCCCUUUCCAUGGCUGCUUCCUGGAGUGUGCAGCUCCUACAUCAGCAGGAUAAUCAAGGUCCUUUGCAAAGUUCCAUCUCCUUCUUUACAAGCCACUUCUGCAGGCUCUCAGAACUGUCUGUCCCUGACAAGGGCUAUUCCUGUUCUAGAAGACAUCAGUGUUCCGGGAGGACUUGAGGCUGCAGCAGAGGGGAGAAAGCAGCCGCAGGCAGUGCCCUCUGGAAGCAGAGGACGGAAAGUCGGCUGACGGCUCACGCAGCGCCAGCACGUGGUCACAGACUCAAACCAGGACGUUCCCUAUGAUGCCAGGUGAGCAGCUACUUAAGCACCUCUGCCUCCCACCUGCCCAGCACAGACACGCUGAAAAGUGGCUUUUAAAAUGCCUUUGACUCUUAUCUCUCUUCUGUCGUCCUCUGAAACGGAAUCUCAAACAAUUUAGUGGGGUUUGAUGCAGAGAACAGUAAGCAGAUCCAGGUUCAGGCAGAAACAGAACAGAAGGAGUCAAAAGCCCCGGAGAAAAGCAUGCAUGGGCUCGGAGAGGACAAAAUAAAAUAGCAGAGACAUUUAUACGGGUCUCCCCUACCUCUCAGAACAAAACAAUUAUGAGAUAAGAGAGGCAUGGAUGGGAGGAAAUUCUUUCAUUUUUCACAUUGCAAGCUGGAGAGAUCCAAUAGCCUGUUUAUGAAGAACAAUAAAGAAGAUACAUGAACUCAGUAAAGAGGUUGUUACAAAUAUAUCGGAUGGUUUUGAAAGGCCAGAGUUUUCUUCCUGCUUUUGGAUAAAGCUGUCAGCUAAGUAUUAAAAGAGUUUUUUUAUUUUUAUUUUUUUUUUGCUUUUGCUUUUUUUGCAAAAAGCAAUAACUGGCACCAGCAGUUUGUUACAAUUGGCAGAAAGAGUUAUCACUUUUAUUUAGGAUUUGGAAAUGCAAUCAAAGAGGGGCAGAUUGGAGCUUGAAUUAAAUGAAGCUUAAACAAGCAAAAAGAAAAAUCUCGGCUGGUCUUUUAAACAAACAAACACAAAAAUUACAGCUCCUUGUUGUUAAUUUGAAGCUAUAAAGAAUUUGACACUCACACUUGAUAAAAUGGUGCCAAGCGGAAUGAUUGCUACUUUUUUGUGUGCGUUAAGUACUGAAUGUUCUGAUCAUUUUAAAAGCAAAAACCCAUUGUUUUUGCAAACUCUUUGGUGGGACCUGACCAGGUCGUUUGCAUGAGAAAUCACAGUGGAGUUUCAUUCUGUUAGCUUUAAAGAAAAUUAUUUCUUUCUAGGAUAAUUUAAAUAAAUGAAAAAGCUGGAAGGCUCAGUUCUGUUUAGCUACCGGUUUUCACAUUUGCUCUGUUAUAAUUCCUGAAUACCAAAUUGCCCCCCCCCCAAGUCUUGAAAACACCCCCACCUAACAGUUGCCCUCACAUUAUCAUUUCAAUUUUGUUUGGAUUCAUCCUGAUACAGCAAGCCUUCGUAUUAUCUGGUAACUUCCUUUAUUUAGAUCACAGCUAAGAAUCCAGAUGGAAGCAAAAGGUUCCCCUGAGAAGACAGAAAGAGAUGUCAUAAGGCAUUUGCCCUACCUCUCAGGCAUCUUAGCAUUACCUACGGGCCGACGGACUCGUUCAGAAAGACUCUUACCUUCCAACAAGAGCAGCGGUCUUGUUUAAAACCCCACAGUGAAUUAGAAGUGAAGAGAGAUUCUUCUGUGUGCAAGGACAGUGACCAUCGGAAGUGACAGCUGACACUCUGAUAAUCAGAGGCAGAAAAACGACUAAACAGCCACGGAUUCGCAGAAGUCAGCAGUUCAGUUCUGCUGAGCAAAGGAGUAAAUACCUGUCCAAGUCUGGCUUCGUGCUUGGGGCUCCCUGGGAUUGAAUUUUCAGCCCUUGCCCUGAGGCGUGAGGGAAGGUUCAGGGCUUCCUUGUUGUCCCUUCUCUGUCUGGGGUCCAACUCCCUCUGGACGCUGCCCCACACUGCUCCCGUGCCUGUCCCACGCGCAUGGGGCGUGCCUAGCGGGCUGUCGCAGACUUUGAGCAUCACUCUGGCCUCCCGGACAUGAGCCCUGAGGGACCUUGCGUGGCUUGUUCUGUGAUGUCUCUUCGUGUCCCUACACAGUGAAUUGUCCCCUAUAAAUACAUAGUGAAUGAAUAAGUUCCCUAUAACUUUCA